rnacentral:rRNA from 1 species
UACGGGGGGGAGCAAGCGUUGUUCGGAUUUACUGGGCGUAAAGGGCGCGUAGGCGGUCAGCACAAGUCAGUUGUGAAAUCUCCGGGCUUAACUCGGAAAGGUCAACUGAUACUGUGCGACUAGAGUGCAGAAGGGGCAACUGGAAUUCUCGGUGUAGCGGUGAAAUGCGUAGAUAUCGAGAGGAACACCUGCGGCGAAGGCGGGUUGCUGGGCUGACACUGACGCUGAGGCACGAAAGCGUGGGGAGCAAACAGG